GAUGAACGCUGGCGGCGUGCCUAAUACAUGCAAGUCGAGCGAACAGACGAGGAGCUUGCUCCUCUGACGUUAGCGGCGGACGGGUGAGUAACACGUGGAUAACCUACCUAUAAGACUGGGAUAACUUCGGGAAACCGGAGCUAAUACCGGAUAAUAUAUUGAACCGCAUGGUUCAAUAGUGAAAGACGGUUUUGCUGUCACUUAUAGAUGGAUCCGCGCCGCAUUAGCUAGUUGGUAAGGUAACGGCUUACCAAGGCAACGAUGCGUAGACGACCUGAGAGGGUGAUCGGCCACACUGGAACUGAGACACGGUCCAGACUCCUACGGGAGGCAGCAGUAGGGACUCUUCCGCAAUGGGCGAAAGCCUGACGGAGCAACGCCGCGUGAGUGCUGAAGGUCUUCGGAUCGUAAAACUCUGUUAUUAGGGAAGAACAAAUGUGUAAGUAACUAUGCACGUCUUGACGGUACCUAAUCAGAAAGCCACGGCUAACUACGUG
rnacentral:rRNA from 1 species